AAUAGAUACCCGGGUAGUCCACGCCGUAAACGAUGUCGACUUGGAGGUUGUUCCCUUGAGGAGUGGCUUCCGGAGCUAACGCGUUAAGUCGACCGCCUGGGGAGUACGGCCGCAAGGUUAAAACUCAAAUGAAUUGACGGGGGCCCGCACAAGCGGUGGAGCAUGUGGUUUAAUUCGAUGCAACGCGAAGAACCUUACCUACUCUUGACAUCCAGAGAACUUUCCAGAGAUGGAUUGGUGCCUUCGGGAACUCUGAGACAGGUGCUGCAUGGCUGUCGUCAGCUCGUGUUGUGAAAUGUUGGGUUAAGUCCCGCAACGAGCGCAACCCUUAUCCUUUGUUGCCAGCGGUUCGGCCGGGAACUCAAAGGAGACUGCCAGUGAUAAACUGGAGGAAGGUGGGGAUGACGUCAAGUCAUCAUGGCCCUUACGAGUAGGGCUACACACGUGCUACAAUGGCGUAUACAAAGAGAAGCGACCUCGCGAGAGCAAGCGGACCUCAUAAAGUACGUCGUAGUCCGGAUUGGAGUCUGCAACUCGACU
rnacentral:rRNA from 1 species